rnacentral:rRNA from 1 species
UACGUAGGGUGCGAGCGUUGUCCGGAAUUAUUGGGCGUAAAGGGCUCGUAGGCGGUUUGUCGCGUCUGCCGUGAAAGUCCGGGGCUCAACUCCGGAUCUGCGGUGGGUACGGGCAGACUAGAGUGAUGUAGGGGAGACUGGAAUUCCUGGUGUAGCGGUGAAAUGCGCAGAUAUCAGGAGGAACACCGAUGGCGAAGGCAGGUCUCUGGGCAUUAACUGACGCUGAGGAGCGAAAGCAUGGGGAGCGAACAGG